rnacentral:lncRNA from 10 species
CUCCCAGUUUCACGGCCAGUACAAGGCCAUUCUUACACUGCUCGGGGGAGCCCCUCAGGAGAAGACACAUUUAAGAGUUUCCAGCAAGAAGAGUCAGGUCAUGCAGUCAGCUGCUUUCUCAGCCCAGCUGUGGGAAUGUAAACAAGUUUCUAACCUCAUUGAAUCUUAGGUUCCCUGUUUGGAAACAGAUGAGAUCCACAACAGCCAUUAUCUUAUUGGAUGGUUGUUGUAUGGCAGGGGCUGUACUGAAGAGUCACACACAUUACUUAGUCUUCCCAACAAUCCUGCAAGAUAUAGAACCUUGACAUGUUUCUCAGGCUGGUCUGAAACUCCUGGGGCUCAAGCGAUCCACCUGCCUCCACCUCUCAAAGUGCUGAGAUUACAGGUAUGGGCCUCCAUGCCCAGUCUCUAUUCUAUCUCAUUUAUCAAUUUAAC